rnacentral:lncRNA from 1 species
GAGUUGGACAUACUAUAAAAACUAAGUUAAAAUCUUGUAAAAUUUUUAAAUUGCAUUUCUACCUUUAAACAUCUACUGAGUGAGGUAGAGGGCAUGUCUAUUUAAUCAAACCUGGAAUGGCUAAUACAUGUCAAUACUGUGCACCACAGGUAUCAAAACCUAAAAUUCCCGAAACCCUUUCCCUUUAGAUUAGCAAAAUAUGAUUUUAAUCUCCCAACUCUAUAUUGUGUCUUAGACAAAAUUACUAGGCCAUUUUUUUUACAUUUGAUUCUGGAUCUUGACACAUCCUAUCCUCAACUUAAUUUCUCUGAGGAUAGAAAAACUGUGUGAUAUGGAAUAAUAAUACCAAACAUUUGUUAUAAACAAAGGAUAUUUUAUUUCUGCCCUGCUGUCCUGGCCUCUUAGAAUCAUAGCUCUUCUUAGAAACUGGCAGAAUCAGCCUUCUGUUCAGGGUAAAUUUUGGGCAAUUAUGUGACAUAUGAAGGCUGGUUUCAUUGCACCAGGUACUAAGAAAACCUGCUUCUGCCAGAAGUAAAAUCCAGUAAGUUUUUUUUUUUUUAAUAUAAAUUGGUGA